ACACACACACAGACACAGCGCGCUACUGAGAAAAAAAAAGAAGAAACGAAGAAACGAGUCCUAGGAUUGACGCUUUUUUUUUUUUUCGUUCCGUCAGCGAGUGCUUUCUCCUGACAUGUAAAGCUAUGUGAAUAUGUACAAAGAGAGAGAGAGAG
rnacentral:ribozyme from 1 species